AUUGAACGCUGGCGGCAUGCUUUACACAUGCAAGUCGAACGGUAACAGGCGGCAAGGUGCUGACGAGUGGCGAACGGGUGAGUAAUACAUCGGAACGUGCCCGGUCGUGGGGGAUAACGGAGCGAAAGCUUUGCUAAUACCGCAUACGACCUAGGGAUGAAAGCAGGGGACCGCAAGGCCUCGCGCGGACGGAGCGGCCGAUGGCAGAUUAGGUAGUUGGUGGGGUAAAGGCUGACCAAGCCGACGAUCUGUAGCUGGUCUGAGAGGACGACCAGCCACACUGGGACUGAGACACGGCCCAGACUCCUACGGGAGGCAGCAGUGGGGAAUUUUGGACAAUGGGCGAAAGCCUGAUCCAGCCAUGCCGCGUGCAGGAUGAAGGCCUUCGGGUUGUAAACUGCUUUUGUACGGAACGAAAAGACUCCUUCUAAUACCGGGGGUCCAUGACGGUACCGGAAGAAUAAGCACCGGCUAACUACGUGCCAGCCGCCGCCGUAAUAC
rnacentral:rRNA from 1 species